rnacentral:rRNA from 1 species
AACGAACGCUGGCGGCAUGCCUAACACAUGCAAGUCGAACGAGACCUGCGGAGCUUGUUGCGCUCGGUUACGUAACGACGGGGAAGCUGCCCUUAGGUUCCGAAUAACGCACCGGGAGAGGUGCUAAUAAAGGGAUAUGUAUUCGGGCAUAAGAUUUAUCGCCUUUUGAUGGUCCCGCAUUGGAUUAAAUUGUUGGUAGGGUAAAAGCCUACCAAGGCGACGAUCCAUAGCUGGUCUGAGAGGAUGAUCAGCCACACUGGGACUGGGAGACGGCCCAGACUCCUGCGGAAGGAAGCAGUGGGGAAUAUUGGACAAUGGGCGAAAGCCUGAUCCAGCCAGGCCGCGUGAGUGAUGAAGGCCUUAGGGUUGUAAAGCUGUGUUACCCGGGAUGAUAAUGACAGUACCGUAAGAAUAAGCUACGGCUAACUCCGUG